AGGACUAUAGCUCAGUUGGUUAGAGCACCACCUUGACAUGGUGGGGGUCGCUGGUUCGAGUCCAGUUAGUCCUA
rfam:Nitrincola nitratireducens strain AK23 contig000015, whole genome shotgun sequence.